rnacentral:rRNA from 1 species
UACGUAGGGUGCGAGCGUUAAUCGGAAUUACUGGGCGUAAAGCGUGCGCAGGCGGUUUUGUAAGCCAGAUGUGAAAUCCCCGGGCUUAACCUGGGAAUGGCAUUUGGGACUGCAAGGCUUGAGUGCGGCAGAGGAGACUGGAAUUCCUGGUGUAGCGGUGAAAUGCGCAGAUAUCAGGAGGAACACCGGUGGCGAAGGCAGCUCGCUGGGACGGUACUGACGCUGAGACGCGAAAGCGUGGGGAGCAAACAGG